rnacentral:rRNA from 1 species
UGGGGAAUAUUGCACAAUGGGCGAAAGCCUGAUGCAGCAACGCCGCGUGAGUGAUGAAGGUCUUCGGAUUGUAAAGCUCUGUCUUUUGGGACGAUAAUGACGGUACCAAAGGAGGAAGCCACGGCUAACUACGUGCCAGCAGCCGCGGUAAUACGUAGGUGGCGAGCGUUGUCCGGAUUUACUGGGCGUAAAGGGUGCGUAGGCGGAUGUUUAAGUGAGAUGUGAAAUACCCGGGCUUAACUUGGGUGCUGCAUUUCAAACUGGAUAUCUAGAGUGCAGGAGAGGAGAAUGGAAUUCCUAGUGUAGCGGUGAAAUGCGUAGAGAUUAGGAAGAACACCAGUGGCGAAGGCGAUUCUCUGGACUGUAACUGACGCUGAGGCACGAAAGCGUGGGUAGCAAACAGGAUUAGAUACCCUGGUAGUCCACGCCGUAAACGAUGAGUACUAGGUGUAGGAGGUAUCGACCCCUUCUGUGCCGCAGUAAACACAUUAAGUACUCCGCCUGGGAAGUACGAUCGCAAGAUUAAAACUCUAAAGUCAAUUGAC